UGAUCUCAGUUCGGAUUGCAGGCUGCAACCCGCCUGCAUGAAGUCGGAAUCGCUAGUAAUCGCGGGUCAGCAUACCGCGGUGAAUACGUUCCCGGGCCUUGUACACACCGCCCGUCACACCACGAAAGUUGGUAACACCCGAAGCCGGUGGCCUAACCCUUAGGGGAGGGGAGCUGUCGAAGGUGGGACUGAUGAUUGGGGUGAAGUCGUAACAAGGUAAC
rnacentral:rRNA from 1 species